rnacentral:rRNA from 1 species
GAGUUUGAUCCUGGCUCAGGAUGAACGCUGGCGGCGUGCUUAACACAUGCAAGUCGAACGUGAAGCAUAGACUGAUUACUUCGGUAUGAUUUCUGUGUGGAAAGUGGCGAACGGGUGAGUAACACGUAGAUAACCUGCCCCAGAGUGGGGGACAACCACUAGAAACGGUGGCUAAUACCGCAUAGUUCUAUCGGUGUGGGAGCGCCGAUAGAUAAAGCUCCGGCGCUCUGGGAGGGGUCUGCGUCCGAUUAGCUAGUUGGUGGGGUAACAGCCUACCAAGGCGACGAUCGGUAGCUGGUCUGAGAGGACGAUCAGUCACAUGGGAACUGAGACACGGUCCCAACUCCUACGGGGGGCAGCAGUGAGGAAUAUUGCACAAUGGGGGAAACCCUGAUGCAGCAACGCCGCGUGGAGGAUGAAGGUUCUCGGAUCGUAAACUCCUUUUCUGAGGGAAGAGAAAGGACGGUACCUCAGGAAUAAGUCACGGCUCACUACGUGCCAGCAGCCGCGGUAAUACGUAGGUGGCAAGCGUUAUCCGGAUUUACUGGGCGUA